UAUGUGAGCAAGAUUUCAACAGGUUUUUCCUGAGUAGCCUAGGAUAAGGUUUUUUAGAGAAUGAGCCUUAAGAGGUGGGAGAUACAGUAAGCUGAGUGAUAAGUUCAUUAGGGUUUGCCAUAUUCUCUUUCCACUUGUGAAUACAUUUGAAAUUUUCCAAAAUA